rnacentral:rRNA from 1 species
UACGUAGGGGGCGAGCGUUGUUCGGAUUUAUUGGGCGUAAAGAGCGUGUAGGCGGCCAGGUAGGUCUGCUGUGAAAACUCGAGGCUCAACCUCGAGACGUCGGCGGAAACCAUCUGGCUAGAGUCCGGAAGAGGAGAGUGGAAUUCCUGGUGUAGCGGUGAAAUGCGCAGAUAUCAGGAAGAACACCCGUGGCGAAGGCGGCUCUCUGGACCGUUACUGACGCUGAGAUACGAAAGCGUGGGUAGCAAACAGG